rnacentral:rRNA from 1 species
AUGAACGCUAGCGACAGGCUAACACAUGCAAGUCGAGGGGCAGCAUAGAAGUAGCAAUACUUGGUGGCGACCGGCGCACGGGUGAGUAACGCGUAUGCAACCUACCUAUCAGGAGGGGAAUAACCCGGCGAAAGUCGGACUAAUACCGCAUAAAACAGGGGCACCGCAUGGUGAUAUUUGUUAAAGAAAUUCGCUGAUAGAUGGGCAUGCGUUCCAUUAGGUAGUUGGUGAGGUAACGGCUCACCAAGCCGACGAUGGAUAGGGGAACUGAGAGGUUGGUCCCCCACACUGGUACUGAGACACGGACCAGACUCCUACGGGAGGCAGCAGUGAGGAAUAUUGGUCAAUGGACGAGAGUCUGAACCAGCCAAGUCGCGUGCAGGAAGAAUGUCCUUAAUGGAUUGUAAACUGCUUUUGCAGGGGAAUAAAGUGCAUCACGUGUGAUGUUUUGUAUGUACUCUGCGAAUAAGGAUCGGCUAACUCCGUGCCAGCAGCCGC